ensembl:lncRNA
AGCUUCUCUGGGAGAGGUGAUUAUGCAGUGGACAUAUACAACGUAAUAUGCUCAUCAAAUACUUACUGUAUGUGCUCUCCUCGCAGGAUGUUAUGAGGAUUAAAUGAAGCCCAAGAGAGUACCUGGCACAUGCAGGUACUUCCCGGUGUAGCCUUCUGGCUUUGCUUAUGAUGGGUUCAUUUGGCUUCUCUGAGUCAUGUUGCUUCUCUGGACAAGUGAGGUGUUUGCUGUCAGUGAAGUGGGCUGAAUCAACAAGGUGUCAUUCUCUAAAAGCCAGAAAUUGGGCUGGCAGCGCUUUGUGGGAUGGGAGAAGAACAUGAAACACAAAGUGCUUCAGAGGAACGAGGUUGUCAAAAUGGAGAGAGAAGCCCAGAGAGGAGGUUGGGGCAAUGCUGAAGGUUCCUCUUUUGCAUCCUGCCUAUGAAAAUAGGCCGAAGCAAACAGCAAACGCAAAGGUUUAAUUUAUAAAUUGUGUGUAUGUGACUAAAGGCUUAAUUAUCUCUUAAUCAGCCUUCUCUGAUUAGAGUGGAGAUCAAUGGGAAGCAAUAGGAAAAAGAGAAAUUUGGAUUAGGUAACUGCCAUUACCUCAAGACCCAGGACGCUUACAUGUGAAGACUUUUAAAAGCUGGCAUUGAAUUUCCUUUAAUGAAGAGGAAUUGUCCUUGUUUGUAAAACAAUAAAACUUGAGAAGAUAUUCUUCAGUAUAACAUGAAAAGUUAAUGGCAUGGGUACUGAGAAAAUGGAAAAGAGAGAGAGAGCCAGUAUUCUCUGUGAAAGCGAUGAACAGAUAUUAGGUAAAGAAUGGUGAAAAGAGUGAGAGCGAAGAGAGCAGGAAGGAGAAGACAAAUGGCCAAGUAACAUGACAGACAUCCUUGGACGAAAAUGGACAGUAAGAAACUACUGAAGGUGGGUCAAAGAAGUGUAAAGAUUGAGAACAUCUAAUUUUAAAUUUUAAGUUUUUUGAAGCCACGUAAAUACAUUCUUCUGUCACUUCAAAUCAUAAUUAAACAUAUCACAUAUGCAAAUACUAUGGUUGAGGAGUUUGUGGGGAUAUUCAAAGGAAAGAUGUUUCUUUUUGUUCUUGGUUUGUCACAGAACAGGGGACAGGAAAAUAGUUAUAGGGGAUCAGAUGCUAAUGACGUCAACAGUCCAGCGGGGCAGGCAGGCAGAGCUAGAGUAACUAUUAAGAUAUUAACGCCAGAGAACUCUCAGGAAUCUUGACGAGGGCGCUAGAUUUUCCACAGAACAUGGGAUAGAGUGCUUGAAUCAAUUUUUUCUGACUUUCAAAGGUCAAUAAAUACACUUAUCACACUAAUACUGUUAAGUUUUUCUAGCAUGUGAAAAGAUAAACAAAAUUCAUCCUCUUUGGGGUUCAGUUUAUAAGCAAGUUUUGGUUUUAUCAUUCAUCAAAGAGGUUUGUACUCAUUCAUGUGAAUAAUUUGAUUUAUUAAACUUAUCUCCCUAAGUAAGAUAGUUCAAUUGUGCAGUAAAUACUUAAAUCUUACUACUCUGACAAGAUCUCAGGAAAAAAUAAGAGUUAGAUGUAAGCUGUGAAAUGGACUAAGUCAGGAAAAGUCAUGUUUAAUGGCUAGAAGUUGUAUGAAGAAGGAGACCCAAGGACAUGUUUAAGUGUAGGUCACAGACUGGGCCUGCUGUGCUCCGUGUUGUAUGCACUCUGUUAUGAUGACCCCACUGAUGAUUAUCCUCCUCAGGACAGGAAAAGACAGGGACUGGCAGGUUGAGAGCUGAUCCACAAGGCAUUUACCAGUAGCCACAUCUGCCACAGAGACUGUGUUUUAUUACAGUCAAGGACAGGAGAAUGAAAGUUUGGGUGAUUGGUUCCAGUUCUAUCUUUUCCAUUAUUUUAUAUCUAGAGUACCCAAUAAUUGGUUGUCUUUUCCUUUGCUGGAUACAAAAGAUGUGUAAGUUCAGUUGAACUAUGCAGGUAUGCUAGAGAGAUUUGAAAUAGAAAAUAGGCAAAUUACCCCAGAAGCUAUUCUGCAGUAGGAUCAAACAAUACUCGUAAAGAAACAUAUUCCUAGUAGUGUGAUAACUAUUAAAACCAUCAUUUGUUCAUUGGAAUCAGCCAAAUACAUAAAUGGUUUAUAUGGUAUUUGUAAAGGGUUAUAACAUCCCUUUCUGAGAGGUAUUAUAAACGACUUCUGUUAACUCUCAAAGGCUCCACUCUUACCUCUCACCACGUGAGUAGCUAGUUUUGUGGAAAUAAUACCAAUUAAGUUCCAGGCUUCCAUUAAUUUUUGGUAACCUUGAUCAAGUUUUGCAACUUCCUCAGCUGUAAAAUUACAUGGAUAAAGUACAUGACCUCAAAGAUCACUUCCUGCCAUAGGUAUCAGGGAUGCUGAGUUCCUUCAUUCAGUUAGAUCAUAGGAGCAAGACAUUAGCUCUAAGGAGAACCACACUGGUAUUCUUUAGGAGAGUCAAGUAGAAAAAUUAUUUCCCAGCUUUUCCACUCACUAGCUUUACAAACUGCGAUAGAUCACUUAACCUCUCUAAACCUUAGUUUCUUUGUCUAUAAAAUGGUAAGAAAGUAAGGUAAUAAAGCAUCCUUUAGUGGUUGGUCAGAGGAUUAAAUGAGGUAAAGCCUGUAAAAGAUCUACUAUAAUAUUGGACACAUAAUAAGUUGUCAUUAAAUGAUUAUUUUCUUCUUUAUUUCAAAUAUAUUAUCAUGAUUUAAAUUGGAGCUUUGAUCAUCAGGCCUGCAAAUCAAGUAGGAUAUCACUGGAUUGCCCACCUAUUUUAUUUUCAGAAUCUCCCUAGUCAUUUAGUCAAAAAUUUCUGCAGCCAUCCCUUCUGACUGCUGUGUUAGUCCUGAUUCCUCACAUGGUAAUUAUGCACAUUUUGCUUCUGCCGGUUAAAUUGCCACUAACUGGCCUCUACCACUCUGGGAUUCUUCCCUCUCUAUUGAAAUAAUGGCUCUAGUUUCAGUUGUAGGAUCUCUCAUCAGCAUCCCUGGCAUUUGUAAACUAGACACAGACAGCUCCUUGCUUCAAAGAUGCAUGUGUUCCACUCACCAACGUUUGCCUCAAGCCCUUUGGUGAGGGGAUCUCUUCUAGGCUUUUUUGGAAACAGUAGUUGUGGGGUGGAUGGGUGGGUGGGUAACACACACCAUAAAUCUUCUCCAGAUUUUAUUUUGCAAAGUCUUUCACUAUGUUCCUUUAAUUUAUAUCAAAGGAUUUUUAGUGUCACAACUUGGCUUACAUGGGUUUAAUUUUCCUGCCAAACCAAUCAUUAGAACCACUCCCAAUUGCUAGAAGUAGCACACUAAGUCCAGAAUCUCUAAGUGGUUGACAGAGAUAUUACUCAUAUUGAUACAUUUAAACCCACAUUUAAAUUCUUCCUUUGUUGAUCAGAAUUCUCAGAAUCAACUUCUUCACUGAUUUCCAAUAUUUAUGCAUGUAUGAAUUAACAAAGUACUGUGAUUUUUUUCAUGUGUAACCCUUUCCUUCCCAAGUUUGGUUCUGUAAUUGGCGUUCUGGAGCAUACCCUUAUAUAUUCAACACAUAUCUGUGAAGUGUCAGCCUCAUGCCAGGUCCUGUUCUCAGAACUGGAAAUGUAAGAAACAAGGUGACUCCUUCAGAUCAGGAUGCAGCAACAUUCUCAAGGAAGAGGAAACCAUCUUUAUACCACAAAGGUCUAAAGUCUGAUUCCACCGACAAGGGAGGUUCCCUGGGUGGUUGGAGUUUCAGGAUACGCGCAGAACUUCAAAUCCUCCCGUAUAUCUCCAUUUCAGUUCCCCAGUGCUCAUUUGAUACUGACCAAUGUGCUGUACGAUGCAAUGUAUGGGAGCCCCAAGAACUCCAUGCUCCAGGACUCUCAACUCCAGUUCUCAAAGUUCUCUGGUACAAGAAGAACUAAAUCUUGCACUCAUUUCGUCCAUCAAGAUCUUGGAGGAGCAGAGGCUGUGUUUGUACCCUGCCAGCUCUUGAAUCUCCCCUGGUUAGAAAAGGAAAAUGGCAGUUGACUUGGAUUUGAGAAGCAGGCUGUCGACACAGAUUGAUGCCUAUUCUUUUUAAUAAAGUGUCUAGUGACAAUAAAUUAGCGCUUCUCACAUCCAUUCAUUAUGUACUUCAUGCACUGUAUGUGCUAGGCAAUAUGAUCCCCUAAAUCUUUACCCCAGAAGGUAUUUUAUCCUAGGAGACCAUAGGCAAUACAGAUUUUCCUCCUUAUAAUGACUGCUUAUUCAUCUAUCUUUUUGUCAUACCAUCUCUCGAAAAGUUUACUUCUUUGCAAAUGACUCUUUUCUUUACAAGUGUAAUGACAUUUUUUUUGUGCUUCAAAAUGUGCUAAAGAUAAAUAUUACAAGAAGUAAUAGUUCAGCAUUAUAUUUUCAGGCAAAGACAUACUCAUCAGUAGACUUGACAAAACAGUUUAUAGUCUAAGAAUAUUCUAUAGAGUUGUGUUUAGAUGAAAGCAAAAUUGUGCUCUGCAUACACAAACCAAGCGAAAAGAGAUGAUUCUUGAGUCUGUUUAGUGCAUGCACCGUUCCUGCAUUUUAAAAUACUCUUGUGUUUUGCUCUUAAAGUGGUUUCAAGAACAUUAGUUUUAAGUAUAGUUUUAGGUUGAAAAUUGGUGAAUAAAAUGAUGUAAAAAGAAGUGUGCCUCCAAGAAUGACUGCCUUGCACUCUUCCUCCACUAGCUGCCAUCUAUGUUCCAGUUUCCUCUUCCUCUUUUAGUGAGGACGUUAAACCUUCACUGCACUAAAUUUUAUAUGUAAACUCUUUAUUUUCAACUGUUGUUAUUAAUUACGUAGACUUGUUUUCAUUGUUCAAUUUAUAUAUUUUUCUAACAACUGAAAAUUGUUUGGAUAUUUUGGUUUGGGAUGAAACGAAUCAUAAUUUGUUCCAUCAAAAUUAAUAUAAUUUUCAAAAAAUUUCAUGGCUUUUCUUUGAGCAGCAAAGUUUUCAAGAAUGAAUUAAAGUUAUUG